UACGGAAGGCAGCAGUGGGGAAUAUUGCACAAUGGGCGCAAGCCUGAUGCAGCCAUGCCGCGUGUAUGAAGAAGGCCUUCGGGUUGUAAAGUACUUUCAGCGGGGAGGAAGGCGAUGCGGUUAAUAACCGCGUCGAUUGACGUUACCCGCAGAAGAAGCACCGGCUAACUCCGUGCCAGCAGCCGCGGUAAUACGGAGGGUGCAAGCGUUAAUCGGAAUUACUGGGCGUAAAGCGCACGCAGGCGGUCUGUUAAGUCAGAUGUGAAAUCCCCGGGCUUAACCUGGGAACUGCAUUUUGAAACUGGCAGGCUUGAGUCUUGUAGAGGGGGUAGAAUUCCAGGUGUAGCGGUGAAAUGCGUAGAGAUCUGGAGGAAUACCGGUGGCGAAGGCGGCCCCUGGGACAAAGACUGACGCUCAGGUGCGAAAGCGUGGGGAGCAAACAGGAUUAGGAUACC
rnacentral:rRNA from 1 species